AGAUGUUGGAAUUGGUAAUUUUGAAUUGCAUGAAGAGGUGUCCGAGUUAGAUCUUAUGCUUUUACCUACCCAGGACUUAGUGAAAUGUGAAACCGAGCCUGUCGUGUGUGAGGCUGCUGCCACCCGCAGAUUUUCGGCUCCAAUGUCAGAUUCGGGUUUACAAGAAAAAAUUCUUCAAGCUAUCCUAAGAAAACUAAAAAUAACAAAAAGUGGGCUUUAGGAAUCUGGAUUGCUUGGACUUUAGAAAGGAAUUUGUGUAAAGAGACAUUUGCUGACGGUGGUGCUUCAAUACCCAGUGAUCCGAACUGCCUUUCAAACGAACUUUUAAAUUAUUGGAUGGCACACUUUAUACAAGAAUGUCGACGCAUGGAUAGCAGUCCUUUUCCGCCCAAUUUAUUGGUCCAGAUUGCAUCAGGCAUUCAAAGGUAUCUGAGAACAGACUGUAACAGAAAUGACAAACUUUUUUCAAAAAGAAUCCGUUCCAUUUUCGUUUUUUAGAAAAUGUCUAGACAGUAGGAUGAAGGAACCGACUAAUAAUGGUAUUGGCACCAAUGUUAAUACAGCAGACCCUAUAUUGACAUCGGACGAGGAAACCAUGUGGGAUAGUGGGGUUUUCGAUUGUGAAACGGCAACUGGCCUUACAAACAUUGUUUUUUUUCUAUAACUGUAAGCUCUUUGGAUUUCGUGCACUCGAUGAGCACAAAGAACUUGACGCUAGUCAGUAUCAUAUUUCGGUUGAUACGAAUGGUAAUAAGUUACUACAUUAUACCGGGAGACUGUGCAAGAUUGUACAAGGUGGAUUCAAAAACAGAAAUAUUGAUGUGAAACACAAUACUCAGAAAAGUGAUCCAUCAAACCCUAGAUGCUAAGUAAAAAAUUUUGAAAAGUAUUUGUCCCUAAUUCCACAUGAGGGUAGGUUUUACCGCAAGCCACUACCCCAUCAAGCUUCAAAUGGUUCCAUCCGAUUCAGUGUACAGCAUAUAGGAAUAAACACUUUAUCUAGUAAAAUGAAGGAAUUAUUCAAGGCUGCCCGGAUUUCCAUGACCGCUCGCAAUAUAUCCAAUCAUUCUGGAAAAGUUACAUGUUGCACUACACUAUUCAAUGCAGGUUUUACUGAUUCCACUGUAAAGUCAAGGAGAGGUCACCGAUCGUCGGCCCUUGAUACGUAUAAGCGUCCGUUGGAAGCAUUACAAGAGAACGUUAACAAGGUAUUACAGCUGCCAUCAAUAGAUAUAUAAAGAAGGAAAAUGACUUGUCCGUUCCCAACAAUAAUCGAAAUGAAAGCGAAAGCAAAGAAAAUGAUGACAAUACAAUGACAAUAAAUGUGCCAAAUUGUAUUAACAAAGUUGUAAUUAUCAAAAAUGGAAAAAGAUAUUGUUUGGAAAUUUGAACUACUUUGUGUAUUAAAAAUUUAUUCAUCAUU